rnacentral:rRNA from 1 species
AUUGAACGCUAGCGGGAUGCUUUACACAUGCAAGUCGAACGGCAGCGCGGACUUCGGUCUGGCGGCUAGUGUCGCACGGGGGAGUAAUGUAUCUGAACAUGCCCAGUAGCGGGGGGUAACUACUCGAAAGCGUUGCUAAUACCGCAUACGCCCUACGGGGGAAACCAGGGGGUCGUAAGAAAUUGCACUCUUGGAGCGGUCGACAUCGGAUUAGCUAGUUUGUGAGGUAACGGCUCGCCAACGCGACGAUCCGUGGCUAGUUUGACAGGGAGACUAGCCACACUGGGAGUGAGACACGGCCCAGAGUGCUACGGGAGGCAGCAGUGGGGAAUUGUGGACAAUGGGUGCAACCCUGAUCCAGCCAUCCCGCGUGUGCGAGGAAGGCCUUCGGGUGGUAAAGCACUUUUGGCAGGAAAGAAACGUCGCGGGCUAAUACCGCGGGGAACGUACGGUACCUGGAGAAGAAGCACCGGCUAACUACGUG